rnacentral:rRNA from 1 species
UGAUCCUGGCUCAGAACGAACGCUGGCGGCAGGCUUAACACAUGCAAGUCGAACGGUCUCUUCGGAGGCAGCGGCAGACGGGUGAGUAACGCGUGGGAAUCUACCUAUCUCUACGGAACAACAGUUGGAAACGACUGCUAAUACCGUAUACGCCCCCCUUUGUGAUUAUUGGGUGGGGAAAGAUUUAUCGGAGAUAGAUGAGCCCGCGUUAGAUUAGCUAGUUGGUGAGGUAAUGGCUCACCAAGGCGACGAUCUAUAGCUGGUCUGAGAGGAUGAUCAGCCACACUGGGACUGAGACACGGCCCAGACUCCUACGGGAGGCAGCAGUGGGGAAUAUUGGACAAUGGGCGCAAGCCUGAUCCAGCCAUGCCGCGUGUGUGAUGAAGGCCCUAGGGUUGUAAAGCACUUUCAACGGUGAAGAUAAUGACGGUAACCGUAGAAGAAGCCCCGGCUAACUUCGUGCCAGCAGCCGCGGUAAUACGAAGGGGGCUAGCGUUGUUCGGAAUUACUGGGCGUAAAGCGUACGUAGGCGGACUAUUAAGUUAGGGGUGAAAUCCCAGGGCUCAACCCUGGAACUGCCUCUAAUACUGGUAGUCUUGAGUUCGAGAGAGGUGAGUGGAAUUCCGAGUGUAGAGGUGAAAUUCGUAGAUAUUCGGAGGAACACCAGUGGCGAAGGCGGCUCACUGGCUCGAUACUGACGCUGAGGUACGAAAGUGUGGGGAGCAAACAGGAUUAGAUACCCUGGUAGU